UAGAGGAAGUAACAGAACAGUUAUAUGUAGAGGAUAAUAGAGGAAGUAACAGAACAGUUAUAUGUAGAGGAGGCUAGAGGAAGUAACAGAACAGUUAUAUGUAGAGGAUAAUAGAGGAAGUAACAGAACAGUUAUAUGUAGAGGGUGCUAGAGGAAGUAACAGAACAGUUAUAUGUAGAGGAUAAUAGAGGAAGUAACAGAACAGUUAUAUGCAGAGGAUAAUAGAGGAAGUAACAGAACAGUUAUAUGUAGAGGAUAAUAGAGGAAGUAACAGAACAGUUAUAUAUAUAGAGGAUAAUAGAGGAAGUAACAGAACAGUUAUAUGUAGAGGGUGCUAGAGGAAGUAACAGAACAGUUAUAUGUAGAGGAUAAUAGAGGAAGUAACAGAACAGUUAUAUGUAGAGGGUGCUAGAGGAAGUAACAGAACAGUUAUAUGUAGAGGAUAAUAGAGGAAGUAACAGAACAGUUAUAUGUAGAGGAUAAUAGAGGAAGUAACAGAACAGUUAUAUGUUGAGGGUGCUAGAGGAAGUAACAGAACAGUUAUAUGUAGAGGCUAAUAGAGGAAGUAACAGAACAGUUAUAUGUAGAGGGUGCUAGAGGAAGUAACAGAACAGUUAUAUGUAGAGGGGGCUAGACGAAGUAACAGAACAGUUAUAUGUAGAGGGGGCUAGAGGAAGUAACAGAACAGUUAUAUGUUGAGGGGGCUAGAGGAAGUAACAGAACAGUUAUAUGUAGAGGGGGCUAGAGGAAGUAACAGAACAGUUAUAUGUAGAGGAUAAUAGAGGAAGUAACAGAACAGUUAUACGUAGAGGGUGCUAGAGGAAGUAACAUAACAGUUUUAUGUAGAGGGUGCUAGAGGAAGUAACAGAACAGUUAUAUGUAGAGGAUGCUAGAGGAAGUAACAGAACAGUUAUAUGUAGAGUAUAAUAGAGGAAGUAACAGAACAGUUAUAUGUAGAGGGUGCUAGAGGAAGUAACAGAACAGUUAUAUGUAGAGGAUAAUAGAGGAAGUAACAGAACAGUUAUAUGUAGAGGAUAAUAGAGGCAGUAACAGAACAGUUAUAUGUAGAGGGGUCUAGAGGAAGUUACAGAACAGUUAUAUGUAGAGGGGGCUAGAGGAAGUAACAGAACAGUUAUAUGUAGAGGAUAAUAAAGGAGGUAACAGAACAGUUAUAUGUAGAGGGUGCUAGAGGAAGUAACAUAACAGUUAUAUGUAGAGGGUGCUAGAGGAAGUUACAGAACAGUUAUAUGUAGAGGAUAAUAGAGGAAGUAACAGAACAGUUAUAUGUAGAGGGUGCUAGAGGAAGUAACAGAACAGUUAUAUGUAGAGGAUAAUAGAGGAAGUAACAGAAC
rnacentral:lncRNA from 1 species